UACGGAGGGUGCAAGCGUUGUUCGGAAUUAUUGGGCGUAAAGAGCAUGUAGGCGGCCUGCUAAGUCUGAUGUGAAAGCCCGGGGCUCAACCCCGGAAGUGCAUUGGAUACUGGUUGGCUUGAGUAUGGGAGAGGAAAGUGGAAUUCCGAGUGUAGGAGUGAAAUCCGUAGAUAUUCGGAGGAACACCAGUGGCGAAGGCGGCUUUCUGGACCAAUACUGACGCUGAGAUGCGAAAGCGUGGGGAGCAAACAGG
rnacentral:rRNA from 1 species